UAAGUAGGUGGUUUAUUAAGUUUUAAAUAAAAUACUAAAAUUUAAUUUAGAGCUAUUUAAAAUACUAUUAAACUAGGGUUAAAUUGGAGAUGACUGAACAUUAAGUGUAAAAGUGAAAUUUGUUAAUAUUUAAAGGACAUUCAAUAAGCGAAAGCUGUUAUCUAAAUUAAUACUGACACUGAGUUACGAAAGCAUAGGGAUUGAACG
rnacentral:rRNA from 1 species